rnacentral:rRNA from 1 species
UACAGAGGCCCCAAGCGUUACUGAGAAUCACUGGGUUUAAAGGGUGCGUAGGUGGCGCGUUAAGUUCGUUGUGAAAUCCCUGGGCUCAACCCAGGAAUUGCUUCGAAUACUGGCGUGCUUGAGGCUAGUAGGGGUCACUGGAACUGACGGUGGAGCGGUGAAAUGCGUAGAUAUCGUCAGGAACGCUGAUGGUGAAGACAGGUGACUGGGCUAGUUCUGACACUGAGGCACGAAAGCGUGGGGAGCGAACGGG